GGACGCUGGCGAGGCAAGAUGCACAUUUUCCCUUCUCUUCUUCCAGUCAUUAUUGUGUUUAACGGAAGAAGUUAGUGCAACGGUUGUUUCUCUUAUCAAGUGUCCCGUGUGUUUCAGGACUCAGAAGCCCUUUUCACACUGGGAUUCUGGAUAAUACACAGGUAAUGUGUCCCAGCAAAUGUUCUUGGAUUGUUAGAUUUUGGUUAAUUCACACUGUCAAUGAUUUCCCGGAAUCUGUGCGUGUGUUCACACACAGACCAUAGAGGUCCCGUAAUGACACGUGACAUCAGGAUGUCACAUGUAAUGUACGAGUCAAAAACGCUAGGCACAUUAACUUUCACUUAAGCUGGCAAAAGAUCUCAGCUUCAGAACGGAUAGUGAGGAGCUAACUGAUCUCUGCUUCUUUACAGUUUGCACGUAUUUUUUCGUCGCAAACGUUGAUCUUCAAAACACCUGGUAAAAGAGUUGCACGAUAAAGUGUGUGAUAACUACGACACACCCUUUACGGCAUUAGUU